CGAUUAGGCAGCAGUGGGGAAUAAUUCGCAAUGGGGGCAACCCUGACGAAGCAAUGCCGCGUGGAUGAAGAAGGCCUUCGGGUUGUAAAGUCCUUUCGUGGGGGACGAAAAGGUGGUUCCUAAUACGAGCUGCUGUUGACGUGAACCCAAGAAGAAGCACCGGCUAACUCCGUGCCAGCAGCCGCGGUAAUACGGGGGGUGCAAGCGUUAAUCGGAAUCACUGGGCGUAAAGGGUGCGUAGGCGGUACGUUAGGUCUGUCGUGAAAUCCCCAGGGCUCAACCUGGGAAUGGCGGUAGAAACCGGCGAACUAGAGUAUGGGAGAGGGUGGUGGAAUUCCAGGUGUAGCGGUGAAAUGCGUAGAGAUCUGGAGGAACAUCAGUGGCGAAGGCGGCCACCUGGCCCAAUACUGACGCUGAGGCACGAAGGCGUGGGGAGCAAACAGGAUUAGAUACCCUGGUAGUCCACGCCCUAAACGAUGAAUACUAGAUGUUUGGUACCUAGCGUACUGAGUGUCGUAGCUAACGCGAUAAGUAUUCCGCCUGGGAAGUACGGCCGCAAGGUUAAAACUCAAAGGAAUUGAGGGGGCCCGCACAAGCGGUGGAGCAUGUGGUUUAAUUCGAUGCAACGCGAAGAACCUUACCUGGGCUUGACAUGUCCGGAAUCCUGCAAAAAUGCGGGAGUGCCCUUCGGGGAAUCGGACCCAGUGCUGCAUGGCUGUCGUCAGCUCGUGUCGGGAAAUGUUGGGUUAA
rnacentral:rRNA from 1 species